rnacentral:rRNA from 1 species
UACAGAGGUGCCGAGCGUUAGGCGGAAUCACUGGGCUUAAAGCGUGUGUAGGCGGACGCCUAAGUACCUUGUGAAAUCCCACGGCUCACCCGUGGAACGGCUGGGUAUACUGGGCGUCUUGAGCCUUCUAGGGGCCAGCGGAACUUAGGGUGGAGCGGUGAAAUGCGUUGAUAUCCUAAGGAACACCGGUGGCGAAAGCGGCUCACUGGGUCUCUGCUGACGCUGAGGCACGAAAGCUAGGGUAGCGAACGGG